GGAAAGACCCAUGGCUCAGUGGCUGAGCAUCUGCUUUCCAUGCAGAAGUUCCCAGGUUAAACCCCUGGCAUCUCCA